AUUGAACGCUGGCGGCAGGCCUAACACAUGCAAGUCGAACGGUAGCACAGAGAGCUUGCUCUCGGGUGACGAGUGGCGGACGGGUGAGUAACGUCUGGGAAACUGCCCGAUGGAGGGGGAUAACUACUGGAAACGGUAGCUAAUACCGCAUAACGUCGCAAGACCAAAGUGGGGGACCUUCGGGCCUCACACCAUCGGAUGUGCCCAGAUGGGAUUAGCUAGUAGGUGGGGUAAUGGCUCACCUAGGCGACGAUCCCUAGCUGGUCUGAGAGGAUGACCAGCCACACUGGAACUGAGACACGGUCCAGACGCCUACGGGAGGCAGCAGUGGGGAAUAUUGCACGAUGUGCGCAAGCCUGAUGCAGCCAUGCCGCGUGUAUGAAGAAGGCCUUCGGGUUGUAAAGUACUUUCAGCGGGGAGGAAGGCGGUGAAGUUAAUAGCUUCACCGAUUGACGUUACCCGCAGAAGAAGCACCGGCUAACUCCGUGCCAGCAGCCGCCGUAA
rnacentral:rRNA from 1 species